GUAUUUUGUAGUUUAGUGUGAAGGACAGUAGACCCUUGAGGGUCCCAGAGAGAGCCUAUACUGUAUAAAGAACCAUUGGAGAAUGUCCUCUGGUCUGAAAACAUAUACCCAUUGACUUCUGGGUUGUCCUAGGAGUCUUUAUUAAAUUCAAUUUCUAUUAAAAUGUUUGGGGAGCCAGCUCCUGGGAAUACUAAUCAAUAUUAGUUGAACAGUCCCAUGAUGAAUCUUACAUGCACCUUAUUGAUCUGGAAUGAAGGUAAUUUUCUUUUACCUGACAUCUUGUCUGUCUCCUGGCAAGCUCUCCGUUGGCCUCCAUGUGUUCAAACUCACCAGCAUUUUGAGACUCAAGUCAGCAUGGGAGCAGAGAGCAGUCGGGAAGUCACACAGUCCUGAGGAGAAGAUUAAAGUACUGCAGAUAUCGAGAAAGCCACUUGAGGUCACAGUCUGCACAAGAGGGAACAUGUCACCCAGGGAUGGAGGAAGUACAAGGAGGGAUUCAAGUGGCACACCAGCCCGAAGGCGACAAGGCGUCGGGUACCCCUCAGAUUAUUUCGUCCCAGCACGCGUGUCCAUCAUAUCACAGAAAGCAAAAGCUACAAAUGCAGAGAACUCGGUGUGUACUUUCAUAAUCCUUCCCAAAGAAAAGCCUGCAGCCUCAGGAGAUCUCGAGGCCACAAUGGAUACCGAGAAGGCUUCAGUGUGUGCAGAGAGAGAGAGAGGAGCGACCACAUGAAAUUUGAGGUGUGUGUAUCUGUGCAUGUUAGUACAGGUGUCAGUGGAGACCAGAAGCGCACACUGGAUCUCUUGGAGCAGGAGUUACAGGUGGUUGUGAACUUUGAAUUUAACUGGGGUCCUUUGGAAGAACAGAGCAUGCUCCUGGCUACCGAGCCAUCUUUCUACCCCUGAGAUGAGUGCUUUCUUGAAAACAACUUCUACUGGACACAAGGCCUCCUCUGUCAGUCCUCAAGAACCUGACCAGAGCUGCACCCGUGUGCCUGUCAUUAGGGAGCUUGUUUAGCCCAGCCGCAGAGGAAUCCUAGUCCUUCACACCUCUGGUGUGAAGUCCUACUGUGCCAAGUGGGCUUCCUAGGAGCAGUUUCUAGCCAAGUCUCCAUAUGCUUGGUGGGCGGGUGUGGGAACCCGGGUAAGGCUUGGCAGGAGAUCUGCAGAGGGAGCUGUUACAACCCAAACAGUCACUGUGUGCACAAUGCUUCACUCACAUGUCUCUUUCAUAUGCCUGGAACCAGUUACUGGAAACUGCAAGACUCUGUGCAACCCCUCAAAAUGACAGAGAAGAUGCCUGGGACUCACGGGACAACUUGGUCUAAUGUCUCCUAGGCAUCCUAAAAGCCACUGAGUAUUUAAAUUAUCACACAGAGGGAGAUACACCCAGGUCAGUCCUUCCACUCUUGGACUGGAAUAAAGAUUUUUGGUUACCAGACUUCCUAGCCUUGCUCUGGACGUGACAACUCUCUUUCCUUCUGACGAGUUUCCAGUCCAAGGUCAGAUGCGGUUUGGGAGGAAGCAUUUCUCACAAGCCAAGUGUGAGGACAUGUGCUCCGUGCGAGCCACAGCCUUUGGACUCCAUUCUGGACUUUGACUGCUGCGUGGAGUAAGGCUGGAACUAGAGAGAUGUCGCUGCGCUGACUCACACUGCACAUGCUCCCUCCCAGACAGUGAGCGGGAUCCCCACUGAGAAGUGCAAGGCUCAAGCUGAUAGAACCUGGUCACUGGCUCUGCAGUGGAAGAGAAGGUAGCAAGGGCAACCACGGGAGCCCCCCUCCCCAGUUCUGCGGGGUCUGCCUCUCUCGCCCUUCCCCGCUGUGGACCACCUCUGUUGCCUGCUGCCAAGGAGCCCUCCUGCCAGCCCAGCUUUCUUUGCUCCAUCCUCCAGAGCCCUAGACUCCUGGGUCUCACCCACAGUAGAUGCUGUGCCAGUUUUCCCCUGCCUCUGUGACUUAUGUCCCUGGACACUCUGGACAGCUACGUGUGAAUGGGCUAGUGUAAGAGAGAGGACACAGGAGGCAAAGAGAGAAAUGAGUGUAUGAAGGGCUGAGUGCCUAGCUGGUGAACAUUGAUCUGAGACUUAAAAUAUCCCAGAAUGUUCUCCCCUUCAGCUGGACGAUGUUACUACAGGAUCUUUACAUCCUUUGAGAAAAUGAGAAUAUUCCUAUUGUAAACCU
ensembl:lincRNA A730036I17Rik RIKEN cDNA A730036I17 gene